rnacentral:lncRNA from 1 species
CAAAGCCGCUGGUCUCUUGUGCGGUGAUGAACAUCACUCCCUUCGUCAGCUCUUUCACCACCACCAUGACCAUCACGACAGGAGCGCCAUGGAAUCCUCCACUCGAGAUCUCGCCGAGAGGACCUUCUUUCAGCUCAAGACGCUUGUUGGUGCCAAGAACAUACAGUUGCCACCGCCACUGCGUUGGGACAACUCCAUCCCUGUGAGUAAAUUCCUUCAUCCGCUGCUAGAGCCUGUGCUUGCGUCCAUGAAUCUGUCCCAGCUCCUGUCCACCAUGCACUUCUCGGGCCAGUCUCCAUUCGCAGCGACGAGCAAGGAUAGCCUGGAAAUGUGCUCCUCCCACGGGGGGAUCAAGCACGAGAUCAAGGCUUGUCACGUCUCGGCAAAGUCCAUCCUGGAUCAGGCCUCUUCGACCCUCCACAAGCUCGAGUUGAAGUAUGUGGCCAACACUCUGGAGUUUGAUCCGAACGAACCAUUCCAGGUGGUAGAGACGAGGGUGGUGGCUGCAGAUGGAUCUCUGGCCUGUCACCCCAUGACUUUCCCAUUCGCCAUCUUCAUGUGCCACACAAUACCGAACAGUCUCGUGUUGGAGGUCGAUCUACUGAGAAGUUCUUCCAAGAACACGAAGCCUGCCAUGGUGAAAGUUCCUGCGGUUUGCCAUAUGGAUACCUCUGAUUUCGCGCCUUCUCAUAUCUCUUUUAAGAUUCUUAACACCAGGCCGGGCGAGGGAGAGGUUUGUCACUGGCUUCCUACUUCUCAUCUCGUGUGGUAUUAAGCUCCAAGCCUGAAUGCUAGAGUGAAUAUAUAGUAAAGUUUGAUCACAAGGAGAAUAAGAAUUAUGUGGCACUCCAUGCCUCAACCGUCUUUUAACGAGCCAGCUUGAGACUGAGGAUCUUCUUCGCAGCGAAAGAAGAAGACGUGAUCGACUCCAAGCUGAGCGUCCACUAGAUCUCUCAUGAGGACCACAAAGGAGGGAGGGCCACAGUAUUCCACAUUUUUGUACGGGGCCGAGCUUGUGGGGCAUCCGUGGAGACCAUAGUUUGGAGCCAGAUUGUUAUCCAAAGCUCCUGGCUAAUAGCAUUAUAUUGUGAUGCUUCCCAAAGAAAGAAUUGGGAUUUGGCUGCUUGGCAUCCUUCCAUACCGGAAUAAAGCUUCAGGAUUUGCCUUCCUUGCCAUACCAGAAGAAAGACUCAGGUUUUGGGAACAUAACAUUUUGAUAAAAAAAACCAUGGCUUGGUUCAUUACAGUGCAAUCUCAGUCCUUGAUUUCUAGCAACAACUUCAAUGUACACCAAGAAAGCCUUAAUAUAUUGUACACGUUUCUCAACUUUGCAGAACAUCAACUUUUUAAAAGCUCAACAGAUUUCAACCUUGCAGGUCUCAACUUUGCAGAUCUCAACUUUUCUUUGCAGGUCUCAACUUUGCAGGUCUCAACUUUGCAGAAUAUUAACUUUUUAAAAGCUCAACAGACGUCAGCCUUGCAGGUCUCAACUUUUCAGAUCUCAACUUUGCAGGUCUCAACUUUGCAGAAUAUUAACUUUUUAAAAGCUCAACAGACGUCAGCCUUGCAGGUCUCUACUUUUCAGAUCUCAACUUUGCAGGUCUCAACUUUGCAGAAUAUUAACGCUGUAAAUUAAGAGAUCCUUGUCUUCUAGCAUAAGCGCAGCUGGUGUCAUUCAAUCAUCCAUGUGAAACAUCACUUUCCAGCAAGUUUUCAAUGACAAUUUUGCAGACAAAGUUUAACAACGACGUCGACUCGUGCUCUACUUGUUUGGUAUAUUUCUACUUUAACUAUAGACUUGGACUCACGGUGUUUGGUUCUCGUAUUAUGUGUAUUUAGAUUGACAACUCUUACAAUCAAAUCAAAACGAUUGUUCACGAGAUUCCAGCUUCCACUCUCAAUCCAUGAGACCCUUACUACCAGGCAAGAAAUCAAAGCUUCCCGCAGGAUGUGACGUGAGUCGUGCAAAGCCGCCGGUCUAUUGUGUGGUGAUGAACAUCACUCCCUUCAUCAGCUCUUUCACCAGCCAGAUUCAGCGAAAGUGAAUCAUUUUUUGUACAUUGGACGCAAACAUUUUUCCACUUUGCACAACUCUGUGGGGAUAAUAGGUUUUUGCACAUUUGAAGGUAAGAAUGCACGCUUGAGAGAGUGAUUUUAAAAUUUGGACAUUCUUCAAACCCUGAGUGCAACCAUUUCUGAAAAAUCCUAAAGAAUAUUCUCCCACUGACUUUCAUUUUGCUCAACACAACCAAAUGAUGACGUCAUUAUUUUGCCUUUUUGAUUCCGGACGAACGUGCAAGGAUAACCUGGCGAUAUCCCAAGUCGCCGGGAUCAAGCACCAGAUCAAGUCUUAUCACAUCUCCACAAAGUCCACUUCGACCCUUCCCAAGCUCGAGUUGGACACUCCAAAGGAACCAUUCUAGGUGGUGGAGAUGAAGGUGGUGGCUGCAUCAUGACUUUCCCAUUCGCCAUCUUCAUGUGGCACACGAUACGGGAGAAGUUCUUCCAAGAAGACGAAGCCUGCCACGGUAAAAGCUCCAGCGGUUUGUCUCAUGAUUUCGAACCUUCUCACAUCUCUUUUAAGAUUCUCAACAAGGUAGAGGUCUGUCACUGGCUUCCUACUUCUCAUCUCGUGUGGUAUUAAGCUUCAAGCCUGCCAGGAAAUGGAAUGCAUGAUCGAAGCAACUACAUAAAAUUACCUUGAGUGGUAAUCCCUUGUGAGUGUGAGAUCGAUCACAAGGAAAAUAAAGACGUCGCUGUUCGUUUAUCUCUUUGGAUAGUUCCAACGCUAAUCGAAAAUAGAUUGUGGAAUAGAGUUCUCUUAGAGAGCGGCUACAAGGCAAACAAGGAUAAAUUUCUUCCGAGGUAUAAAUGCUUGCGCGAACCAGUCGACAUCCCGUAACAGAAUUAGAUACGAGAUUUGUCCCAAAACUCACUGACCUUUGUUUCUGUCAAAGUUUCAUUUCACUUAUUUUAGAUACUUGUUACUACGUGUUUGAUUUCUUCACCUGUGGAAAGAAAAAAAGAUCAAACAAAGAGAAAGAAGCGAACAUUCAGUACCUUCUUCAGGUAUAACUUAUGGAACUUGAGCGCUUUUUGGCACGCUCGGUAUGCGUCUAUCUUGCCGCUCAUAUCGUUCAGAGCCUGCGACGUAUAUUGUUACCAGGGAAAUUGAGGAAAAAAGCAAAAGGAUUAAACUGUUCCUCACCCUCACGACUUCGUCCAGGCCUUGAAUUCUCUUUAUAAACUUGGAUCGUAGCAGCACCAAGAUCCCGGCUACAAAGAAAACUGCCAGGGACGGAUGCUCGUUGAGGGCUCUUGGCGAUCCAUACUUAAUGUUCCGCUUUGCAAAUCUACCUCCAGCUCUAUAGUCCGGCUGUACGUUGUCAAUGUGACCAUCCGGGGCCUCCAUGUAGAGAAUUUGAAGGUCGGGAUGGUACUCGAAAGCCCACAUCAUCUACAAAGAAAGAAAAGCUCACGUGGACGAAAGAACAUAAACAUUUCACAACGGUUGGACUUACCUCCCAGAGGCUGAGCGUAUCAACGAACGAAAACUCCCGGCGAAAGUUAACCAUGAGCAUUCGAAACGCAAAAAUAUAGUUGCUCCCUCCAAGUGCAUCUACAAAAAAAGGUCGGCAAACACCUUCAUCUUCGAAAUCCUCACCUAGAGUUCUAUGAAGCUUUGGAUCGAUUACUCGCAUGGCAGCUGCGAGGAAGGAGAGCUCCUUCUGAACCCCCAUCAUCUUAUUCGUGCACCUGAAAUUUUCCCGCUUGCCAACAUCAAACGUGAUAAACUUCAAUGAACGGUACUAAGCGAUAUAAAAUCUUGAGAAGCGCUUUGCAGAAAACGUACCACUCGACGCAUCAGGCACUUGAAGCACCAAAAGGCGUCAGCCUCGUCCGCGAAAAGGAGCACCAUCGGCGAGCAAAGAUCGCUCAUACCUUGACAGUAGCCAACCUCCUCGUCGAUCCAAGCGUAUACUGCCAGGAUGUCCCAGAGCUUUCCCAAGUUCUUGGGAUCCUCGUAAAACUCUAAAACUCUAUCCGUGCGAACUACAUCCAGUCCUGCAAAGCGAAAGUGAGCUCUCUCUCUAGCACGCGAAACAGAAAAAUAAUCAUACCAAUCUGGUGGAGAAGAGCUUUCCACUGGACAAUCUUUGCCCUCGGCGCUGGAUCCAGCACGGCUUUUCAAUAAAUUCUGCUAAUACUUGGACUGAAAGUGAAAAGCCCGAAGCAAACAAAGAAGUAACCACCUGGAUUAUUCUCCUCCAUGGAAACUCCGUCGGCAUUCAUUCGCGGCGAUAUCACAACUUCACCACUUCCAACGGCCGCAUCCAUUCUUUUACACUCGGCCUUGAGCUUCAAAUAUUUGUCACUGUAAAAACCAACGCGGUUUCUCUCGCAGAUCAAAUCCAAUCGAUAAAACAGGCCAAAGUAUCUACCGUCGCGAUUGACGAAGCUCUUCCCUUUCGGCAGCAUUGCUGCUGGGGGAGUAAACACCCAAAAGAAACUCCCAGACGUGAGCGCGAAUCUCCGACGCAACGCCCUACAGGAAAGAAGAAGAGAUUUCGCUACUGGAAAUGCAGCACAAGAUUUACCCCUCUUUCGAUGUGCCGAAGAACUCGCUUCACAUUGAGCCGCCCUUGCGCGUCAAACGCAGCCCGCCAUUUCUCCGCCGAGAGCUUCCUCCGCCUCCGCCUCUAAAUCGGUCAAACCACAGCUCAGAUCGACACAAAUCCAGCCGAGAAUCCGUCACAAACCGGCGCGGAGCUCGUCGCCACAUCCUGACACUCGCUCCGGACCCUGUAAAUCUCGGAAUCAUCCUCCAUAGAGAAGCCUUGCCUCUGCUCGCUCGUGCAGGCCAGCAGCGGCAUCAUGGAUCGCACAGAUCAACAGCCCGGCGCCUCCGCAUUGUCGGACACUCUCUAUAGAACCCUAAACUUAAGUAAUCGUACGAAUAUGCUCCAUUCCUUGCUCCGGUUCGAAUCGCGUAGCUAACGUUUAAGUUUUAUUCCACAUUGUAACUAUGUUGCCAUGGACAAAGCCCAGUGCGUGGAGCUCAUUCGAUCGUGCAAAAGCCUUCCAAUGGCCCAGGAGAUCCACAAACGCAUCCAGGCGAAUCCACCACUCUCACCACACGAGAGCCUCUUUGUCUCCAAUAAUCUCCUCGCACUGUUUAACCAGUUUGGCAGCCUCGUAAAUGCCCGAAGCGUCUUUGAUCGCAUCGAGAACAAGGAUGCUUUCUCGCUGGUUCUUAUGCUCUGCGGCUACUCUCGCAGCGGGCAAGUCUCCAAUGCAAAAGCCAUCUUUGAUUCCAUGCCCGAAAAGAAUCUUACAAGCUGGAACGCUAUGGUGGCAGCAUAUGCCAAGAAUGGGUAUAUGGACGAGGCAGAACUACUGUUUCAAGAGAUGCCAUUUCAUGAUGCCGUGUCAUGCAAUACGCUCGUAGCUGCACACUCGCAAAGAGGUCAUUUGGAUACUGCGAAGGGUAUCUUUGAUGACAUGCUUUUUAAAACUCUACCAUGCUGGAAUGCCAUGCUAUCUGCAUAUGCCACAGGCUGGCAUCUUGUACAAGCAAGACAGACAUUUCACUCGAUGCCUGCUCGAAAUCUGAUCUAUUGGACAUCAUUCUUAAACGCACUAAUCAUGGAGGAAGAUCUUCAAAUGACUAGAAAGUGUUUUAGCGAAAUGCCCUGCUGGAAUCUGUUUGCCUGUAACUCAGUACUUUCCGCAUAUGCCCGAAAGGGGAAUCUUCUCGAAGCCAUGCUAACCUUUGACACAAUGCUCGAGAGGGAUAUAAUCACUUACACAAACAUGCUGGAAGCUUUCAUCCACAACGGUUGCCUCUUUGAAGCCAGCAAUUUCUUCUCGCGGAUGCCACAGCGGGAUCUUGUGGCCUACACCGUAAUGCAAUCGGCCUAUGCUUAAAACGGCGAGCUCGAGAGAGCCGAGACCAUCUUCAACUCCAUGCCGCAGCGUGAUCUCGUCGCUUGGAACGCCAUGAUCGGGGCUUACUCCCAACACGGCCGAGUCGAGCAAGCAAAGUUUCUCUUUGAUUCCAUGGCCGAGAGAAACUUGGUCUCCUGGACCUCAAUGCUCACGCCUUACACAAUAAGUGGCUACUUCUCGCAAGCAAAGCUCGUCUUUCUCGACAUGUCCGAGCAAAACUCCGUCUCGUGGAAUGCCAUCCUUUGCAUGUAUGCUCAGCACGGCCAUUUGAGCUCUGCAAGGAAGAUUUUCGAUGCCAUGCCCGAGCAAGGAGUGGUAUCAUGGAGCGCCAUGCUCGCUGCCCACGUAAGAAACUUGUCCUCUUCUCGUGCUCUCGAGCUCUUUGACGAGAUGAAAGCUUUGCAUUGUCCCGACGAAGCUAGCUUCUUCUCAGCUAUGGUUUCGUUUGGGCAGCAAGGCUGCAUCUCCAGAGCCAAGUCUUGCUUUUGUUCCAUGGUGGCCGACUAUGAAGUGGCGCCAUCAAAGCAGCACUACUCUUGCAUGGUGGAUUUGCUCGUUCGAUCUGGGAGAAGUUUGGAGGCGUGUUUGCGAUGCCUUUUGAGCCCAGUAACUUGGAAUGGUCGUGCUUGCUGCGUGAAAGAAACUCCAGCUCGAUGUUAACCACCAGAGGCAAGCAUGCUUUAAGAUCAAGUUCCUCGGAUGGAGCGGUUUACGUGCUGCUUGCCAAUGCAUUAACUUGAAAGCUAAUAUGAAACCUGUACAUUAAAAAGAUGGCUCAUUUCAAGGGCUUUAUUUCACAAUGGCACUUGAGUAAGUUUUGGUUUUGCUGUUGUGCCUCUAUGUCUCCUUCAGUUUGGGUUGCCACACGGAAGAGGGCUGUGGUCGUUCUACGAGGCUGAUGACCCCAAUGCUUCUCCGCUUGCUCUUGCUCAAUGGAGGUUUUUGUUCAAGAUAGACGCAUCUAUACUAGUAAUACUAGCUUUGUACAAAAAGAUGCAAAGAAGCUAGUUAUUAAUAUUAGAGCUUGCUUCAUUGUUUCAAAAAGUUGAGCGUCCACUAGAUCUCUACCACAAAGGAGGGUCAUCCCAGCGAAGUGGUGGCAACGAACAAAGUCUAGGAAUGCUGGCCCCUCCAAUCCAUCCGUGGACACCAAAGCUUAAGCUUUUGCUCCUAUACCAAAAGAAAGAAUCGGGAUUUGGCUGCUCAUACCAGAACAGAGCAUUGGGACUGGCUUCCGUGCCAAACCAUACAUUUGAGAACAUAACCUUGGUUCAUUAUAGUCGAUGUUCUAACUUGUCUGAAUGAUAUAUGUACUUCAGGCAUCUACAGCACUUCAAAUGCUCAAGGACAAAGGGGCCAUACUGCAAUCUCAGUCCUUGAUUUCUAGCAACAAGGUAAUGUACGCAUAGAAAAACGAAUACACACCUUUUGCUCUUGUACCACAAUGGAGCCUUUCUCGCACCACAGCCCUCGCCUUCGCUCACCUUAAACCCAUAUUUCAAUUACCACUACCCACCCUGCAGGCUUGAGAUCGGGGCUAUUAUUAUAGAUUACUAUUUUAUUAAAUUUUCUUAAAUAUCAAGAAUGUAUAAUAAAAGAUCCCUCUUGCUAUAUAAAACAUCAGUUCAAUGAGACAAAGUUUAAGAAAUGUCACUCUUAAACUUUGUUUUUAAUCAGUGUUUAAUGUUAAUUUUAUUUAUUAAAAAGGCAACCCCUCUCUCCCAUUGUUGCCAUCUUUUUGGAUUUUCAUAAAACCACUACGAGGAGUUAGGGGCUUGGCAUUUAGCAAGCCAAGUCAAAAGGAGCCAAAUUUCCUCUGUCUUUUAAUAGAUGCCCCUUUUACACCCCAAGCAUUUGUGGCUAAAUGCACUUUAUGGCUAAGCUGAAUGCCAUUUAGGGCCUAAUGGCACCGGUGGGCAUUUUAGGCCCAGGUGGCGUGCGCUAGAGCCCCGGCUAUUUGGCCCCCAACGGCACCCGUCUGUUCCGCUAUUGGCCACCAAGCCUAAUUAAAAAUUAAGAAAAAGUUCAUAGUGUAUUUUCCAUUUGACAGAAUAUUCGGUCAACAGUGUUGACUUGCACUACACUUUUUACAUACAAAAUCCAUAUUAUCCUUUAAGUUAAAAGGCUCCACAUUGACAAAUCUGUAACAACCUCAAUGGAGGAGAACUCUCACAAGGGAGACACCAUUCCCCAUCAUUUCUCCUAAUACACAAUGGUUAGCAUUUUAACAUUAAUGUCCAAUAGUAUCUCAAUCUAAACAAGUCAUUAGGUGCUACUUACAUAUGCUAAAUAGUAUAUUAGAAUAUAUAUUUAAAGAUAAACCAUUAUGAUAUAUCAGAAACUAAAUUGCAUAAAAAAUAAUAAAAUGAAAGCAAACCACGUUCACAACAAAAUAUUAAUACUAAUGCCUCUUUUUGUUAUUUUAAAAUUGUGCUAGAGUUUAUGGUUCACUUGCUCCUAAGAAAAAUUUUACUGUCUACAUGAAGAUGUCUACAUAUUUAUCUAUGAAGAAUGAGAUUAGAAAUAGAUAGAAAUGUUUCCUUGUGAGAUUAUAGGGUAUUAUUUGAAUGCUUACAAAUGAUUCUGUUUAUAACUUUUCAAGAAAACCAAUCAAUGACAGGGUAACAUGGUUAAUUUAAACUGAAUUAUGUUUAAAGGUUAGAAGGACAUUUUUUUCUGAUUUGAAAGGGUUUUAUUUUUUUUAUUGUAUUUUAUUAUCUUAAUACAUUACAGCUUUGCAAAAUAUCAACGCUGUAUAGUAAGAGAUCUUUGUCUCCUAGCAUAAAGGAUCUUCUUAGUCAAACGUCACUUUCGAGGAAGGAUUGGGGAUUUGCUUGCUUCGCUUCCUUGUUAUACAAGAGGAUGGACUCGGGAUUUGCCUGCUUCACUUCCUCGUUAUACAAGAGGAUGGACUCGGGAUUUCCCUGCUUCGCUUCCUCGUUAUACAAGAGGAUGGACUCGGGAUUUGCCUGCUUCGCUUCCUCGUGAUACAAGAGGAUGGACUCGGGAUUUGCCUGCUUCGCUUCCUUGUGAUACAAGAGGAUGGACUCGGGAUUUGCCGGCUUCGCUUCCUUGUCAUACAAGAGGAUGGACUCGGGAUUUGCCUGCUUCGCUUCCUUGUCAUACAAGAGGAUGGACUCGGGAUUUGCCUGCUUCGCUUCCUUGUCAUACAAGAGGAUGGACUCGGGAUUUGCCUGCUUUGCUUCAUUGGUGUACAUUACCUCUCCAGGCACUUGCUUUUCAUUGUCCUUGAGUGUACGUAGUGCUGCAGCUGCCUGAAGUACAUAUAUCAUUCAGAAAACUUAGAAGCAGAGAUUGAUCUCACCGUGAAAAACAAGAAGACUGUAAUGAGCCACGCCAUGGUUUCUAUCAAAAUGUGGUGUUCUCAGAAGAAAAACUUAGCAGCGCGCUCACGGGAAGAGGCAACUAAGGCGGCGGCAGUGGUGGAGAAGGAGGAGCUGUUCCUGGAGCCAGACUCGAUUCCAUGUCCUUUUAUAGUAAAGCUCUAAUUCUUAUUAUCUUAAUACAUUAGAGCUUUGCAAAAUAUCAACGCUGUAUAGAAAGAGAUCCUUGUCUUCUAGCAUAAAGGAUCCAGCAAGUUGUCAAUGAAAAUUUAAAUUCGUCCUUAUCUUUUAUAUAUAGAAAAAUACUGAACAAGUGGAAACAUCACACCAGAGUUCAUAUUAUAAUUAUAAACUUUGCAAUUCCAGAACCCAUGGCAGACACUUUGUUGGUUCUCAUGUUCCUGGCAUUAUGUGUGGUAAGCUUCACGAAUUUCAUGACUCUUUCGAAUCAAAUCCAACUGAUUGUGCUCUUCGCCAGGGAUACUUGGAGGGAUUCCAACUUCCACGCUCCAUUCGUGAGAGGCUAUCGCCCCUUGACGACGCUUCAGCGCUGCACAUCAAGCAGGAACUCCAAGCUUCCAGCAGGAUAUCACACGAGUCGUGCAAAGCCGCUGGUCUCUUGUGCGGUGAUGAACAUCACUCCCUUCGUCAGCUCUUUCACCACCACCAUGACCAUCACGACAGGAGCGCCAUGGAAUCCUCCACUCGAGAUCUCGCCCAGAGGACCUUCUUUCAGCUCAAGACGCUUGUUGGUGCCAAGAACAUACAGUUGCCACCGCCACUGCGCUGGGACAACUCCAUCCCUGUGAGUAAAUUCCUUCAUCCGCUGCUAGAGCCUGUGCUUGCGUCCAUGAAUCUGUCCCAGCUCCUGUCCACCAUGCGCUUCUCGAGCCAGUCUCCAUUCGCAGCGACGAGCAAGGAUAGCCUGGAAAUGUGCUCCUCCCACGGGGGGAUCAAGCACGAGAUCAAGGCUUGUCACGUCUCGGCAAAGUCCAUCCUGGAUCAGGCCUCUUCGACCCUCCACAAGCUCGAGUUGAAGUAUGUGGCCAACACUCUGGAGUUUGAUCCGAACGAACCAUUCCAGGUGGUAGAGACGAGGGUGGUGGCUGCAGAUGGAUCUCUGGCCUGUCACCCCAUGACUUUCCCAUUCGCCAUCUUCAUGUGCCACACAAUACCGAACAGUCUCGUGUUGGAGGUGGAUCUACUGAGAAGUUCUUCCAAGAACACGAAGCCUGCCAUGGUGAAAGUUCCUGCGGUUUGCCAUAUGGAUACCUCUGAUUUCGCGCUUCUCAUAUCUCUUUUAAGAUUCUUAACACCAGGCCGGGCGAGGGAGAGGUUUGUCACUGGCUUCCUACUUCUCAUCUCGUGUGGUAUUAAGCUCCAAGCCUGAAUGCUAGAGUGAAUAUAUAGUAAAGUUUGAUCACAAGGAGAAUAAGAAUUAUGUGGCACUCCAUGCCUCAACCGUCUUUUAAUGAGCCAGCUUGAGACUGAAGAUCUUCUUCGCAGCGAAAGAAGAAGACGUGAUCGACUCCAAGCUGAGCGUCCACUAGAUCUUUCAUGAGGACCACAAAGGAGGGAGGGCCACAGUAAUCCACAUCUUUGUAUGGGGCCGAGCUUGGGGGGCAUCCGUGGACACCAUAGUUUGGAGCCAGAUUGUUAUCCAAAGGUCCUGGUUAAUAGCAUUAUAUUAUGAUUCUUCCCAGGUUUUACCAGAAGAAAGAAUUGGGAUUUGGCUGCUUGGCAUCCUUCCAUACCAGAACAAAGCUUCAGGAUUUGGCUUCCUUGCCAUGCCAGAAGAAAGGCUCAGGUUUUGGGAACAUAACAUUUUGAUAAAAAAAACCAUGGCUUGGUUCAUUACAGUGCAAUCUCAGUCCUUGAUUUCUAGCAACAACUUCAAUGUACACCAAGAGAGCCUUAAUAUAUUAUACACUUUUCUCAACUUUGCAGAUCUCAACUUUGCAGAAUAUCAACUUUUUAAAAUCUCAACAGAUCUCAACUUUGCAGAUCUCAACUUCGCAGAAUAUCAAGUUUUAAAAUCUCAACAGAUCUCAUCAGAAAUCAACUUUGCAGACAACGCUGUAAAUUAAGAGAUCCUUGUCUUCUAGCAUAAAUCGCAACUGGUGUCAUUCCAUCAUCCACGUGAAACAUCACUCUCCAGCAAGUUUUCAAUGACAAUUUUGCAGACAAAGUUUAACAAUGACGUCGUACUUGUUUUGGUAUAUUUCUACUUUAACUAUAGACUUGGACUCACGCCGGACACUCGUUUGGUUCUCGUAUUAUGUGUAUUAAGAUUGACAACUCUUACAAUCAAAUCAAAACGAUUGUUCACGAGAUUCCAUCUUCCACUCUCAAUCCGUGAGGCCCUUAUGACGCUUCAGCUCUGGCUAUCAAGCAAGAAAUCGAAGCUUCCGGCAGGAUGUGACGUGAGUCGUGCAAAGCUUCCAGUCUAUUGUGUGGUGACAUUAGCUCUUUCACCAGCCAGAUUCAGCGAAAGUGAAUAAUUUUCUGUACAUUGGACCCAAACAUUUUUCCACUUUGCACAACUCUGUGGGGAUAAUAGGUUUUUGCAUAUUUGAAGGUAAGAGAGAGUGAUUUUAAAAUUUGGACAUUCUUCAAACCCUGAGUGCAACCAUUCCUAGAGAAUAUUCUCCCACUGAUUUUUCUUAACACAACCAAAUGACGACGUCAUUAUUUCGCCUUUUUGAUUCCGGACGAACGUUUGGUGCAAGGAUAACCUGGCGAUGUCCCAAGUCGCCGACCAGAUCAAGUCUUAUCACGUCUCCACAAAGUCCACUUCGACCCUUCCCAAGCUCGAGUUGGUGGAGACGAAGGUGGUGGCUGCAUCGCCUGUCACCCCAUGACUUUCCCAUUCGCCAUCUUCAUGUGGCACACGAUACGGGAGAAGGUGUUCCAAGAAGACGAAGCCACGGUGAAAGCUCCAGCGGUUUGUCUUAUGAUUUCGAACCUUCUCACAUCUCUUUUCAGAUUCUCAACACCAGGCCCAGCGUGGUAGAGGUCUGUCACUGGCUUCUUACUUCUCAUCUCGUGUGGUAUUAAGCUCCAAGCCUGCCAGGAAAUGGAAUGCAUGAUCGAAGCAACUACAUAAAAUUACCUUGAUUGGUAAUCGCUUGUGCGUGUGAGAUCGAUCACAAGGAAAAUAAAGACGUCGUUGUUCGUUUAUCUCUUUGGAUAGUUCCAACGCUAAUCGAAAAUAGAUUGUGGAAUAGAGUCGGCUACAAGGCAAACAAGGAUAAAUUUCUUCCGAGGUAUAAAUGCUUGCGCGAACCAGUCGACACCCCGUAACAGAAUUAGAUACGAGAUUUGCCCUGACCUUUGCUUCUGUCAAAGUUUCAUUUCACUUAUUUUAGAUACUUGUUACUAUGUGUUCGAUUUCUUCACCUGUGGAAAGGAAAAAAAGAUCAAACAAAGAGAAAGAAGCGAACAUUCAGUACCUUCUUCAGGUAUAACUUAUGGAACUUGAGCGCUUUUUGGCACGCUCGGUAUGCGUCUAUCUUGCCGCUCAUAUCGUUCAGAGCCUGCGACGUAUAUUGUUACCAGGGAAAAUGAGGAAAAAAGGAAAGCAUUAAACUGUUCCUCACCCUCACGACUUCGUCCAGGCCUUGAAUUCUCUUUAUAAACUUGGAUCGUAGCAGCACCAAGAUCCGGAUGCUCGUUGAGGGCUCUUGCCGAUCCAUACCUCCAGCUCUAUAGUCCGGCUGUACGUUGUCAAUGUGACCAUCCGGGGACUCCAUGUAGAGAAUUUGAAGGUCGGGAUGGUACUCGAAAGCCCACAUCAUCUACAAAGAAAGAAAAGCUCGCGUGAGCGAAAGAACAUAAACAUUUGACAACGGUUGAACUUACCUCCCAGAGGCUGAGCGUAUCAACAAACGAAAACUCCCGGCGAAAGUUAACCAUGAGCAUUCGAAACGCAAAAAUAUAGUUGCUCCCUCCAAGUGCCUCUACAGAAAAAGGUCGGCAAACAUCUUCAUCUUCGAAAUCCUCACCUAGAGUUCUAUGAAGCUUUGGAUCGAUUACUCGCAUGGCAGCUGCGAGGAAGGAGAGCUCCUUCUGAACCCCCAUCAUCUUAUUCGUGCACCUGAAAUUUUCCCGCUUGCCAACAUCAAACGUGAUAAAGUUCAAUGAACGGUACUAAGUGAUAGAAAAUCUUGAGAAGCGCUUUGCAAAAAACGUACCACUCGACGCAUCAGGGACUUGAAGCACCAAAAGGCGUCAGCCUCGUCCGGGAAAAGGAGCACCAUCGGCGAGCAAAGAUCGCUCAUACCUUGACAGUAGCCAACCUCCUCGUCGAUCCAAGCGUACACUCCAGAGCUUUCCCAAGUUCUUGGGAUCCUCGUAAAACUCUAAAACUCUAUCCGUGCGAACUACAUCCAGUCCUGCAAAGCGAAAGUGAGCUCUCUCUCUAGCACGCGAAACAGAAAAAUAAUCACACCAAUCUGGUGGAGAAGAGCUUUCCACUGGACAAUCUUUGCCCUCGGCGCUGGAUCCAGCACAACUUUUCAAUGGAUUCUGCUAAUACUUGGACUGAAAGUGAAAAGCCCGAAGCAAACAAAGAACUAAGCACCUGGAUUAUUUUCCUCCAUGGGAACUCCGUCGGCAUUCAUUCGCGGCGAUAUCACAACUUCGCCACUUCCAACGGCCGCAUCCAUUCGCUUUCACUCGGCCUUGAGCUUCAAAUAUUUGUCACUGUAAAAACCAACGCGGUUUCUCUCGCAGAUAAAAUCCAAUCGAUAAAACAGGCCAAAGUAUCUACCGUCGCGAUUGACGAAGCUCUUCCCUUUCGGCAGCAUUGCUGCCGGGGGAGUAAACACCCAAAAGAAACUCCCAGACGUGAGCGCGAAUCUCCGACGCAACGCCCUACAGGAAAGAAGAAGAGAUUUCGCUACUGGAAAUGCAGCACAAGAUUUACCCCUCUUUCGAUGUGCCGAAGAACUCGCUUCACAUUGAGCCGCCCUUGCGCAUCAAACGCAGCCCGCCAUUUCCACAUUGAACUAUGUUCCCAUGGACAAAGCCCGGGAGCUCAUUCGAUCGUGCAAAAGCCUUCCAAUGGCCCAGGAGAUCCACAAACGCAUCCAGGCGAAUCCACCACUCCCACCACACGAGAGCCUCUUUGUCUCCAACAAUCUCCUCGCACUGUUUAACCAGUUUGGCAGCCUCGCAAAUGCCCGAAGCGUCUUUGAUCGCAUCGAAAACAAGGAUGUUUUCUCGCUGGUUCUUAUGAUCUGCGGCUACUCUCGCAGCGGGCAAGUUUCCAUGGAAAAGCCAUCUUUGAUUCCGUACCCGAGAAGAAUCUUACAAGCUGGAACGCUAUGGUGGCAGCAUAUGCCAAGAAUGGGUAUCUGGACGAGGCAGAACUUUUGUUUCAAGAGAUGCCAUUUCAUGAUGCCGUGUCAUGCAAUACGCUCAUAGCUGCACACUCGCAAAGAGGGCAUUUGGAUACUGCGAAGGAGAUCUUUGAUGACAUGCUUUUUAAAACUCUACCAUGCUGGAAUGCCAUGCUAUCUGCAUAUGCCACAGCUGGCAUCUUGUACGAGCAAGACAGACAUUUCACUCGAUGCCUGCUCGAAAUCUGAUCUCUUGGACAUCAUUCUUAAACGCACUAAUCAUGGAGGAAGAUCUUCAAAUGACUAGAAAGUGCUGGAAGCUCUCAUCCAAAACGGUUGCCUCUUUGAAGCCAGCAAUUUGUUCUCGCGGAUGCCACAGCGGGAUCUUGUGGCCUACACCGUAAUGCAAUCGGCCUAUGUUCAAAACGGCGAGCUCGAGAGAGCCGUGGCCAUCUUCACCUCCAUGCCGCAGCGUGAUCUCGUCGCUUGGAACGCCAUGAUCGGGGUUACUCCCAACACGACCUAGUCGAGCAAGCAAAGCUUUUCUUUGAUUCCAUGGCCGAGAGAACUGGACCUCAAUGCUCACGGCUUACACAAUAUGUGGCUACUUCUCGCAAGCAAAGCUCGUCUUUCUCGACAUGUCCGAGCAAAACUCCGUCUCGUGGAAUGCCAUCCUUUGCAUGUAUGCUCAGCACGGCCAUUUGAGCUCUGCAAGGAAGAUUUUCGAUGCCAUGCCCGAGCAAGGAGUGGUAUCAUGGAGCGCCAUGCUCGCUGCCCAGGUAAGAAACUUGUCCUCUUCCCAUGCUCUCGAGCUCUUUGACGAGAUGAAAGCUUUGCAUUGUCCCGACGAAGCUAGCUUCUUCUCAGCUAUGGUUUCGUUUGGGCAGCAUCUCAAAAAAGCUUAAUUAACUUUGCCAUUUUGAUGAACAACUUAAAUUCACAAAAAUGACUUUUUUGGGAAGAAAUUCUUCUCCCAAAUCGAACGAGCAAAUCCACCAUGCAAGAGUAGUGCUGCUUUGAUGGCGCCACUUCAUAGUCGGCCACCAUGGAACCAAAGCAAUGGAGGCCGAGGAACUUGUGUUUGCCAUGCCUUUUAAGCCCAGUAACUUGGAAUGGUCGUGCUUGCUGCGUGAAAGAAACUCCAGUUCGACGUUAAUCACCAGAGGCAAGCAUGCUUUAAGAUCAAGUUCCUCGGAUGGAGCGGUUUACGUGCUGCUUGCCAAUAGAUUAACUUGAAAGCUCUGUACAUUAAAAAGAUGUCUCAUUUCAAGGGCUUUAUUUCACAAUGGCACUUGAGUAAGUUUUGGUUUUGCUAUUGUGCUUCUAUGUCUCCUUCAGUUUGGGUUGCCACAUGGAAGAGGGCUGUGGUCGUUCUACGAGGCUGAUGACCCCAAUGCUUCUCCGCUUGCUCUUGCUCAUGGAGGUUUUUGUUCAAGAUAGACGCAUCUAUACUAGCAAUACUAGCUUUGUACAAAAAGAUCCAAAGAAGCUAGUUAUUAAUAUUAGUGCUUGCUUCAUUGUUUCAAAAAGUUGAGCGUCCACUAGAUCUCUACCGCAAAGGAGGGCCAUCCCAGCGAAGUGGUGGCAAUGAACAAAGUCUAGGAAUGCUGGCACCUCCAAUCCAUCCGUGGACACCAAAGCUCUUGGUUAAUAAUCAUCAAAGUAAAUCCGUUUAUACCCUCAUUUAUGAUAAGCUUUUGCUCCUAUACCAAAAGAAAGAAUCGGGAUUUGGCUGCUCAUACCAGAACAAAGAUUGGCUUCCUUGCCAUACCAUACAUUUGAGAACAUAACCUUGGUUCAUUAUAGUCGAUGUUCUAACUUGUCUGAAUGAUAUAUGUACUUCAGGCAUCUACAGCACUUCAAAUGUUCAAGGACAAAGGGGCCACACUGCAAUCUCAGUCCUUGAUUUCUAGCAACAAGGUAAUGUAUGCAUAGAAAAACGAAUACACACCUUUUGGUCUUGUACCACAAUGGAGCCUUUCUCGCAUGUACACCACAGCCCUCGGCUUCGCUCACCUCAAACCCAUAUGUCAAUUACCACUACCCACCCUGCCCAUCGGGGCUGGGCUCUUUAUUUUUAUUAUUAUAGAUUACUAUUUUAUUAAAUUUUCUUAAAUAUCAAGAAUGUAUAAUAAAAGAUCCUCUUGCUAUAUAAAAACAUCAGUUCAAUGAGACAAAGUUUAAGAAAUGUCACUCUUAAACUUUGUUUCUAAUCAGUUUUAACGUUAAUUGCAUUUAUUAAAAAGGCAACCUUCUUGUUGAGGUACCCCUCUCUCCCAUUGUUGCCAUCUUUUUGGAUUUUCAUAAAACCGCUAUGAGGAGUUAGGGGCUUGGCGUUUAACAAGCCAAGUCAAAAGGAGCCAAAUUUCCUCUGUCUUUUAAGUUUUGUAGCGCCCCUUUUACACCCCAAGCAUUUGCAUUGGUUGUGGCUAAAUGCAACACUUUACGGCUAGGCUGAUUUAGGGCCUAACUGCAUUUUAGGCCCAGGUGGCGUGCGCUAGAGCCCCGGCUAUUUGGCCCCCAACAGCGCCCGCCCUAAUUAUAAAUUAAGAAAAAGUUCAUAGUGUAUUUUCCAUUUAACAGAAUAUUCGGUCAACAGGGCUCGCUACACUUUUUACAUACAAAAUCCAUAUUAUCCUUUAAGUUAAAAGGAUCCACAUUGACAAAUCUGUAACAACCUCAAUGGAGGAGGACUCUCACAAGGGAGACACCAUUCCCCAUCAUUUCUCCUAAUACACAAUAGUUAGCAUUUUAACAUUAAUGUCCAGUAGUAUGCAAAAUGUCUCAAUCUAAAUAAGUCAUUAGGUGCUACUUUACAUAUGCUAAAUAGUAUAUUAGAAUAUAUAUUUAAAGACAAACCACUGUGAUAUAUCAGAAACUAAAUUGCAUAAAAAAAUAAUAAAAUGAAAGCAAACCACGUUCACAACAAAAUAUUAAUACUAAUGCCUUUUUUUUUAAUUAAAUUAUUUUAUUUUUAAAUUGUGCUAGAGUUUAUGGUUCACUUGCUCCUAAGAAAAAUUUUACUUUCUGCAUGAAGAUGUCCACAUAUUUGUCUAUGAAGAAUGAGAUUAGAAAUAGAUAGAAAUGUUUCCUUAUGAGAUUAUAGGGUAUUAUUUCAAUGCUUACAAAUAAAAUAUAAGCUUGAUUCUGUUUAUAAUUUUUCAAGAAAACCAAUUAAUGACAUGGUUAAUUUAAACUGAAUUAUGUUUAAAUGUUAAGAGGAUUUAAACACAUUUUUCCUGAUUUGAAAGUUUCUUUUAUUGUAUCUUAUUUGUGUUUUCCGAUUGCAAGGCUCUACUUUAAACUUCAUAUUCUUAUUAUCUUAAUACAUUAGAGCUUUGUAAAAUAUCAACGCUGUAUAGCAUAAAGGAUAUUCUUAGUCAAACGUCACUUUCCAGGAAGGACUCGGGAUUUGCCUGCUUGGCUUCCUUGUUAUAGAAGACGAAGGACUCGGGAUUUGCCUGCUUCGCUUCCUUGUUAUAGAAGAGGAAGGACUCGGGAUUUGCCUGCUUCGCUUCAUUGGUGUACAUUACCUCUCCAGGCACUUGCUUUUCAUUGUCCUUGAGUGUACGUAGUGCUGCAGCUGCCUGAAGUACAUAUAUCAUUCAGAAAGGUUAGAAGCAGAGAUUGAUCUCACCGUGAAAAACAAGAAGACUGUAAUGAGCCACGCCAUGGUUUCUAUCAAAAUGUGGUGUUCUCAGAAGAAAAACUUAGCAGCGCGCUCACGGGAAGAGGCAACUAAGGCGGCGGCAGUGGUGGAGAAGGAGGAGCUGUUCCUGGAGCCAGACUCGAUUCCAUGUCCUUUUAUAGUAAAGCUCUACUUUAAACUUCGUAUUCUUAUUAUCUUAAUACAUUAGAGCUUUGCAAAAUAUCAACGCUGUAUAGUACGAGAUCCUUGUCUCCUAGCAUAAAGGAUCCAGCAAGUUGUCAAUGAAAAUUUAAGUUCGUCCUUAUCUUUUAUACAUAGAAAAAUACUGAACAAGUGGAACAUCACACUAGCACAAGUUCAUAUGAUAAUUAUAGACUUUGCAAUUCCAGAACCCAUGGCGGACACUUUGUUGGUUCUCAUGUUCCUGGCAUUAUGUGUGGUAAGCUUCACGAAUUUCAUGACUCUUUCGAAUCAAAUCCAACUGAUUGUGCUCUCUGCCAGGGAUACUUGGAGGGAUUCCAACUUCCACGCUCCAUUCGUGAGAGGCUAUCGCCCCUUGACGACGCUUCAGCGCUGCACAUCAAGCAGGAACUCCAAGCUUCCAGCAGGAUAUCACACGAGUCGUGCAAAGCCGCUGGUCUCUUGUGCGGUGAUGAACAUCACUCCCUUCGUCAGCUCUUUCACCACCACCAUGACCAUCACGACAGGAGCGCCAUGGAAUCCUCCACUCGAGAUCUCGCCCAGAGGACCUUCUUUCAGCUCAAGACGCUUGUUGGUGCCAAGAACAUACAGUUGCCACCGCCACUGCGCUGGGACAACUCCAUCCCUGUGAGUAAAUUCCUUCAUCCGCUGCUAGAGCCUGUGCUUGCGUCC